rnacentral:rRNA from 1 species
CAGCAGCCACGGGAAUACGUAGGGUGCGAGCGUUAAUCGGAAUUACUGGGCGUAAAGCGUGCGCAGGCGGUUCGUUAAGACAGAUGUGAAAUCCCCGGGCUUAACCUGGGAACUGCAUUUGUGACUGGCGAGCUAGAGUAUGGCAGAGGGGGGUAGAAUUCCACGUGUAGCAGUGAAAUGCGUAGAGAUAUGGAGGAAUACCGAUGGCGAAUGCAGCCCCCUGGGCCAAUACUGACGCUCAUGCACGAAAGCGUGGGGAGCAAACAGGAUUAGAUACCCCUGUAGUCCCUGUCUCUUAUAC